ensembl:lncRNA
UUCGGGCUCCAAGCCAGAGCCUUCACAGUCCUCUUUCUGUCCCUUUCCCUGCGAGCGAGUGGCAGCCAGGGGAGUUAUGCGUUGCUGCAACGCGCCGCGGAGAGCAGCAGCGGGCCGGGCACAGCUGGCCCAACAAACGUUCUUCUGAGCUUCGCGUCCUUCGCUCCGAGUUCUGGCUCAGCUCCUGGAACUAGCUGGGUGCCAGCGGCGUUCCGGAGAGUCCAGCCAGCUCCAGGCGUCUGGGCGCUUCGAGUCUUUGAUCUUCAGAACCUGGCAGCCUCUGCUGCUCCACUCUCCUCCCGGAAACCACCCAAAAGAUUAACUUCUGAAGCCCUCAGGGCAGAGGGAGGAGAAAGGGUGGGAAAAGGCGCACCGACCAGCCAUUGGGAAGGCUGCAGAGGAGGGAGGCCAGGCUCCCGAGGGCAGCGUCACGCUACGCUCCGUACUCAGCGUCCCUUGUAGGGCCUGACACCUCUAUGAACCUGGGAUCAUGAAUGAAUUCUUGACUCUUAGAGGGUAUGGAGAAGCAAGAAGGAAGGAGAUGAGAUAGGCGAGGAGGGAAGCGGGGCUAUUCUUAAGGUUAAACUGAAAGCGAGCUUUUUAUUGAAUCUAAGAAUAUCUGAGAAGAAAAACGAAAAGAAAGAAAAGAAAAGCAAGCAGACACGGAGGGACCAGAUGGAACCAACUAAGCUGGCUUCUUGCAAGACUCAGGUGGCCCACUGUGGUGCAAGAAACGGAUGGCAUUUUGAUCUUGCCCCAUUCAGGUUGGGGAGUGAAGUGCAGGGGCCUUUUGCCCCCUUGCUAUGAAAGAACAGAUUCACUGACUACCAUACAUUGCUGUUCUGAAAGCAGGCUGCACAUGACCUCCAGGACCUUAGUGCUUUGCUUCCAGGCCAAGACUGCAGGAGUCAAAUCUGGCUGGCUUUGCCAAAGUACAGGUGUAUGUAGUUCAGGACACUUGAUUUACAUUUGGAGGGGCUGGGGCAGGUGGAGAGGGCAAGAAAGAAGUAAAGAAGAUGGUGAUGUCAGGGGUGUCUCUUCCCAAAUAUGUAAAUAUACCCAAUAAGUUUAAAUAAGAAAUCUAAUUGCUGCUUAAUUUUUGAUCAUGUACUUUAUCUGUAUAGCAAGCUUUGUUGUCCGAAGUUUUUUUUAUCGAUUUAAAUUGCUGCCUUUGAACAGCCAGGCAGGAGCAAAAUGUUAAAUUUUUAAACUUACUUUGUCUAAUUGUCAUUUGUUAGUCGGUAGUAGAUGUGAAAAUUUAAUUUAUGAAUCCAUGAUCAUCCAUACUACACCAAAGGCAGUCUCUGGAGCACUUAUGGCAAGGUGGCCCCUUUGUGUGCACUGGGUAUAGUUGUCUUCUUUAUCAUGUUAUUUUCAAUAUUAAAUACCUAAGCUGCCAUAUGAGUUUUUAUCUUUACAGUUUUCAAGGAAGAGCACAGAAAAAUUUCCCAUUUCAUAUUCAUAGUAUGUAAGUGGGUUCUAUUUUGUAAUGCUGAAAAUACUUAACAGUGCAUUGAACACUUGGAAGGGAAAUACUUUUUGGUGUUGAUUCUGUUAAUGACUCAGAAGAACAGUACACACCCUUGUGGAUUUUUUUUCCUCAGGUCUGAGUAGCAUUGCCUUAAAUCUUACCCAAUUAGAAAGUCACUUUAUUUAAUGUGAUGUUCAAAUUUUCCACCAAAAAAUCCUUCCAAACAAAAGACAUACUUCUUCUCCAAAAGUGUUCUGUGCUAUCGCAAAUACUCCUUGAGAUUUUAAAGGAAUUUCCAUGUUGUACCCUUUAGUGGCAGCCUUGACUGUUGGCAUAGCCAUCUGUUAUGUAGUGGUAGGCAACUUUCCUGCCAUGCAGGACUCCCUCCUGUGAAGUGUAUGUUUUAUACAGUGUGUGCCUCUUCAUGUGGCGAAUAAUUUCUUGUUAAUGUAUGUUUGAGGGGCUUUGAAUGUCAGCAUUAUUUACCCACAGAGUUAUUCAAGUUGUAAAAGGUUAUACAAUAAUUUAACAACUACUUUUUUUAUUCUGUCAGGUUACUGAGCUCACUUUACGAAAGUGGCUGUAAGUACUUAGCAUGACAAAUUCUGUAACUCAUCUGUUUCAGCAUGCAUUAGGGAAACUGAUAAUGCUUGAGUCCACUAAAUCUGCCUUCAGUACUUUAUCAAAGAGGAACCAAGCCUGCUGUGCUUAUAUCAGCAUCUCGAAGAUUCUUUGGUCCUCCAAUCAGUGUACACAUCUCCACACAAAGAAGAGAAAACCAUCUCUGCUCAGAUACCUAUCGGAUGGAGACACCUGAGUGAACUUUGAUGAAGUACAGUCUGAGUUACCAUCAUGCACGAGUAGAACUGCUCUUGGACCUGUCUUUCUGUCAUUUGCAGAACCUACAUGUUUGAUUGACUUGAACGUUGCAUCUUUUGAGGCUAUUUUGUAAGGUCUCUUGGCAUUUAUCCUAGUUGUCUGUUUGGCAAUGUGCUGUUGAAGUAAGAGACUUUUAAUCUUUAUGUAUAUUUUGUUUUCCCUUGAGAUAUUAUAGUGGUUUCUUUUAGGAAAAUCUGUCAUUAAAAUUAUAGCCUUGCAAAUAACCAAUGACCAUAUUGAGUCACGGCUUAUUCUAGUGAGAAUAAAUAAAUAAAUAAAAAUAAAAAUAAAAAUAAACUCUUCCUGGGACUUUAGCUCCAUGGCUAGAUCUAGUAUUUGUGCCCAGAGUUCCUGAUGUAGGCUAAAGAGGUUUUCAUGCUUUUGAAAGUAGUCACAAUCACAAUUACAAAAGUAAUGUUGCAUAUUACUGCUAUAAUUAAUGGAAAUUCCUACUUUUCUCACUUUUGGGGAUAAAUUCCUCCUUUCUGUUCACAUAUCACACCACAUGGGGGCGAACUUGUUUCUCAUUUCCUCUCCUGCAUUUCUGCAGCAGGAAUUAUUUUUCUAUUCUUUAGAGCACAUUAUUUAAGAUUGCAAUUAUUUUUCUUCCUUGAAUGUUCUGUAGAACUGUCCGCCAAACCAUCUGAACUUGGAAUUUUCUUUGUAGAAAAUUCUUUUGACUAUUGAUUGGAAAACUUAAUUAUGGAAAAAUGUUUUCCUAGGAAUUUGUCCUUAUUUUCAAAUUCAUUGGGAUAUAGGAAUGUUUAUCCUAUUGUCUGUUUUAAUGACUGCAGUAUCUAUAACAAAGUUUUCUUUUUUAUCUCCG